CAUAACUAGUUUAUUUUAAAUUAUGAUGGUUAAUUAAAUGUCCAAACUAACUAAAGUUAACCUAUAUAUGAUUAAAUUAAUCGAUAAAAUAAUAAUUAUGAUGAACUUUAAAUGCGUUAGCUAGUUAACCGUUAAUUUUUUUCAAAUUUCCUUAUUUAACUGUCAGUCAAUAUUAUGUUAUUCAUUAAUUAACGUGCCCUGCCUGUGUGCAGCCCCUGGAGUACAAUUAAAUUACAUACAAAAUUAGAACUUUGUGAUAAUUCGUACACUCUUAUAAAAAAUUAUAAUAUACUACAGAUGAUUAAAUGUACUAAUUCU